rnacentral:rRNA from 1 species
CAGUCGCCGCGGUAAUACAGAGGAUGCAAGCGUUAUCCGGAAUGAUUGGGCGUAAAGCGCGCGCAGGCGGAUAGGUCAGUCUGUCUUAAGAGUUCGGGGCUUAACCCCGUGAUGGGAUGGAAACUGCCAAUCUAGAGUAUCGGAGAGGAAAGUGGAAUUCCUAGUGUAGCGGUGAAAUGCGUAGAUAUUAGGAAGAACACCAGUGGCGAAGGCGACUUUCUUGACGAAAACUGACGCUGAGGCGCGAAAGCCAGGGGAGCGAACGGGAUUAGAUACCCCUGUAGUCCCUGUCUCUUAUACA